rnacentral:rRNA from 1 species
UACGUAGGGCGCAAGCGUUGUCCGGAAUUAUUGGGCGUAAAGAGCUCGUAGGCGGUUUGUCGCGUCUGCUGUGAAAACCUAAGGCUCAACCUUGGGCUUGCAGUGGGUACGGGCAGACUAGAGUGCGGUAGGGGGUGACUGGAAUUCCUGGUGUAGCGGUGGAAUGCGCAGAUAUCAGGAGGAACACCGGUGGCGAAGGCGGGAUCCUGGGCCAGUACUGACGCUGAGGAGCGAAAGCGUGGGGAGCAAACAGG